rnacentral:rRNA from 1 species
UACGGAGGGUGCGAGCGUUGUCCGGAAUCACUGGGCGUAAAGGGCGCGUAGGCGGCCUGAUAAGUAGGGGGUGAAAUCCUGCGGCUUAACCGCAGGGCUGCCUUCUAAACUGUCAGGCUCGAGCACAGUAGAGGCAGGUGGAAUUCCCGGUGUAGCGGUGGAAUGCGUAGAGAUCGGGAAGAACACCAAUGGCGAAGGCAGCUCGCUGGGACGGUACUGACGCUGAGACGCGAAAGCGUGGGGAGCAAACAGG